rnacentral:rRNA from 1 species
UACGGGGGGGGGUAAGCGUUGUUCGGAAUUACUGGGCGUAAAGGGCUCGUAGGCGGCCAACUAAGUCAGACGUGAAAUCCCUCAGCUUAACUGGGGAACUGCGUCUGAUACUGGAUGGCUUGGAUCCGGGAGAGGGAUGCGGAAUUCCAGGUGUAGCGGUGAAAUGCGUAGAUAUCUGGAGGAACACCGGUGGCGAAGGCGGCUCUCUGGGCCUUACCUGACGCUGAGGAGCGAAAGCGUGGGUAGCGAACAGG